rnacentral:tRNA from 1 species
GUAGCUCGUCGGGCUCAUAACCCGAAGGUCGUCGGUUCAAAUCCGGCCCCCGCAACCA